CUCAAAACAGCUGCAGAAGAUCUUGAAACUCCUAACCAAGCCUCAAAUUCUUUUGAGAAUACCGUCAUAUACCUACUCCAGCUUGCUCCUGUUUGUGUAAAGGGUCUUUUCAUAUGCAAAAGAAGGGCAAGGGGGAGUGUCUUAUUUCCCACUCGCAGUGGGCUUUCCAGCUACCUUUUCAACAGAGCUAAACUGAGAGCUUCUAACUCGGGGCUCCGACACGGAGACACAUGCUCUGAUAUCAUCGCCUGGGGACAGAAUGGCUGUUUUCUGUCGGAGCCACGAGGACGGUCAAUGGUGGGGGAGUGAUCCACACAUAGUGGAAUGAGGAAAGACAGACACACCGCUUAAGAUUACUACA